GUGGAUGCCAGGAGGAGUGAUGGUCGGCAGUGCUCCAAACUGCGGCCCCAGCAGGGGCCCCGGGGAGGAGAGGGAAGGGGUGGAGAGGCAGGCAGGAGAGGCUGUCCUUGGAAUUCUGUGGAGUCAUGUUUUAGUGCAUGGGAUGUCAAUAGAAUGUUCACGUCUAAUUUUGAGCAUAUCCCCAGGCACGGUUUGUCUUGCUUCAGUUAUUUUACAAACCAGCUUGCAGUAUGGGUAGUGGCUAAGAGCACAGACUCUGGAGCCAGAGUGCCUACAUGUGCCCCAAAUGGGCCAGGCUCCAUGCCAGGCUGGGAGGACCCCCAAAGAAUAAGGCAGGGCUCCCAGCUUUGAGCAGAGGCCCGUUUGCGGGCUAACAGCUAUAUUACCAUGUGGUAAGAGGUGUGUGGACAACAGACCCGUGCUCUGAAUUUCCUUCAGGAGUUAGCUGGGGAAACAUUUUGCGACUUAGCACUUAGAAAGGCCAUUACCACGGUGGUGAGGAUCUCGGGCUCUGGGGUCACACCGCAUGACCUUGACUAAGCGCUUCACCUGGCAUCGCCUCCUUUUCCCCACCUGCAAAAAGAGAGUGAUGUCAUGCACUCGGGCUGUCAUUGUGAGGGCGGAGAGACCUAACCGUGACGAAUCAACCGUGGCUACGUGCGAACCCUCAACGAACGUCUGCUGUAGCCGGAGUGAUGAUCUGACAAAAGCAGGGGAUGUUCCAUCUAUCUGAGGAGCCCAUGAAGACUCCAAGACCCCAUCCCCCAGAGCAGGAGGACUACUGUGCUUCCACAGCUGGAAUGAGGCACUUCAAAUCUCUCAGGUACAAGUCUGUAGCAAGCAAAGAGGAGUAAUAGGAAAUAACACUCACUGCAGACUGGAUUGUAAGUUCUGGUUUCCCAUCAAAGAGAACCAAAUCAAAGCUAAGGGAGUGCUUGUUUUAGGGUAGAAUGCUUUUUGUUUGCUUGUUUUUAAAUUGUUUAUUUUGAGAGAGAGACAGAGACAGAGACAGAGAUCGUGUGCACACACGAGCAGAGGAGGGGCAGAGAGAGAGGUGGAGAGAGAGGAUCCCAAGCAGGCUCCAUGCUGUUGGCGCGCAUAGACCAACAUGGGGCACAAUCCUGUGAACCAUGAGACCGUUACCUGAGCCAAGGUCAAAAGCCAGACUCUCAACCAACUGAGCCACCCAGAUGCCCCUAGGGUAGAAUUGUUAAGCAUUAGAUGAAAAUUGAGAAAAGUAUAUAUCCCCUGUCAAAGCUCUAUUUCACUCACGGGGCACCUGGGUGGCUCAGUCGGUUGAGCAUCUGACUUCGGCUCAGGUCAUGAGCUCACAGUCUGUGGGUUCGGGCCCCGCGUCGGGCUCUGUGCUGACAGCUCAGAGCCUGGAGCCUGUUUCCAAUCCUGUGCCUCCCUCUCUCUCUGCCCCUCCCCCAGUCUCACUUUGUUUCACUCUCUCAAAAAUAAAAAAAAAUAAAAUAAAUAAAAAAAGCUCUAUUUCACUCUUAAGCUAGCUGUGUUACUUUGGUCAAGUUAUUCCACACCUCAGGAGGGACAGAAUUUGCAGUGAGUUUAGCCACACCACCUGCCUCAAAAACUAACCGAAACAGUCCUCCUCCCCAGAGGAACAGAAUAGAAUUCUGAGAAUCCACAAUUUAUCAUUCACAAUGUCCAGCACCCUCUCCAAGAUGGAUUUAUAUAAAAAGAAUCUGCAAUACGUGACCUAUCUCAAAAGAAAAGAUAAGCAGCAGAGAUCAAUACCAUUCCAUAAAUUAGAAUUAGUAAAGAGGGGCGCCUGGGUGGCUGAGUGUGGAGCCUGCUUAAGAUUCUUUCUUUCUCUCUCUCUUUCUCCCUCCCUCUGCUCCUCUCCCCCACUCUCUCUCUCUCUCUUUUUCUAAAACAAACAACAAAACAAAACAAAACAAAACAAAACAAAAUGGGGCGCCUGGGUGGCUCAGUCGGUUGAGCAUCUGACUUCAGCUCAGGUCAUGAUCUCAUGGUCUGUGAGUUCGAGCCCUCGAUCGGUGUCUGUGCUAACAGCUCAGAGCCUGAAGCGUGCUUCACAUUCUGUGUCUCCCUCUCUCUCUGCCCCUUCCCUGCUUGUGCUCUCUCUCUCUCUCUCUCUC